UACAGAGGUCCCGAGCGUUGUUCGGAUUCACUGGGCGUAAAGGGUGCGUAGGUGGCGAGGUAAGUCGGAUGUGAAAGCUCGGAACUCAACUCCGAAAUGGCAUUGGAAACUACCUUGCUCGAGGGUUGGAGGGGGGACUGGAAUACUUGGUGUAGCAGUGAAAUGCGUAGAUAUCAAGUGGAACACCAGUGGCGAAGGCGAGUCCCUGGACAACUCCUGACACUGAGGCACGAAAGCUAGGGGAGCAAACAGG
rnacentral:rRNA from 1 species